rnacentral:lncRNA from 1 species
AUCAUUCAGACCUAUACAUAGAGCAUGCAAAACCUGACAAUCAACUUGUAAAAUCUAUAGCGCCUAAACCAUCAGGCUUAUGGUCAUGAAAAUUUAACACAAGCUAUAUUAUGAAGUUACCUACAACUUUUGUGUUCACCAUAUUUACAGAAAACAUCAUUUGCAUCACAAAAAUAUUGCCACAAUAGAACUGCUCUAGCAGCCAUUUCAGUACAUAUGCAACAAGGUUCUUCAUUUAGUUCUUUAACAAGGUAACAUAUGCAUAAGUUAAACACAUAGCUCACAAAUAGUAUGAACAUAGUUAAUUAGCAUUAGCUUUAGAUAACAUGGAACACCCUAAAUACCUUAAGCAAGAAUCAAAGCAAAGGUGAAGAACUUAUAUAAGUAGUUGUUAUCUUAACAUGAGAGCAUACAUAUGAGUCAUAUUCAAAGAUUAACCACUACUUAUCAUAACUUAGCAUCAUAUGUACCCCUAAAAAACAAUGAUUAAAAGCUUCACAUGACCUAAGUAUAUGCAUCUACUAGCAAACUUUCAUCAUCCAAUUAUAUAGUAAGCAUAUAUAUUAAUUAUAGGUGAUGUGGCAAACAUCUCAUUGGGAGCUGAGAUUUUUAUGGAUGAUAGAUGUUAUCAAAACAUGGCUACUGUAUAAAUCUCACAUGCUCAAGUGGUAUAAUUUAGUUGCUAUGAAAAAGAUAACUUGCUCUUGCAAGAAAGCAUGUAAAAGCAAGAUA